rnacentral:rRNA from 1 species
UACGGGGGGGGCAAGCGUUGUUCGGAAUUACUGGGCGUAAAGGGCUCGUAGGCGGCCAACUAAGUCGGACGUGAAAUCCCCAGGCUCAACCUGGGAACUGCGUCCGAUACUGGAUGGCUUGAAUCCGGGAGAGGGAUGCAGAAUUCCAGGUGUAACGGUGAAAUGCGUAGAUAUCUGGAGGAAUACCGGUGGCGAAGGCGGCAUCCUGGACCGGCAUUGACGCUGAGGAGCGAAAGCCAGGGGAGCAAACGGG